rnacentral:sRNA from 1 species
CUCGAUUCUGCCAUGUCAUAAACACGUUUGAAGUCGGCUUUAGUAUACCACCAACGUUCAAUACGAUGCAGAAUAUGUAAGGACCGGGUGUCCUUUUUAAAUUUUAAAAUGAAAGUGGUGGGGAAGGCCUUCUAAUGGGCGACUGCACGUUUGGAAGGGGGAAAGGGACAGCAGCCAGUGGGAGCUUCAAGUUGUGGACGGCUGGGUGGAGUGGGCAGCUGCACAGUUGAAGUGGAGGGGCUUCCCAUUCAACAAAGUGGGCAGCAGCAGGAGUUGGUGGGUCUUCCCACUUUGAGAGUGCCACAGCCACCAAGGAACACCAUCAUCUCCAUCAAUUAGUGGGAUUUGGCACUAGGAAUGCAGGGGAGUGGCUGAGAGUGCAAGGUUUUCCAUUAAAAAGGGAGAGCCGUGGGUUUGAAGGGGUUGGGUUCGGCAUUUGGAGAAGGAGAGGAAGCUUACUGCAGAUUUGGGAGAAGUGAGACAGAGAACGUCCAGAGCUCUUCUGCAAAUCUUUUGGGAGAAAGAUUCAAGGAGGUCUUCAAGAGACGUUGUUGAAGAGAUCACUUUGGAGCAAGAGCUGGAGGAUACUAAGGUUGCGGAGUAGUCUUCUUAGGAACUUUCCCAUCUGAACACGUGUAGUGUUCGAAUCUUUAAGCUGUUUAAGUUUGGUUUCCCGUUUCUUUUAAUUCUGGAUGACUGUAAUUUUACAUUUAAUUACACGUCAUGUCGGCCCGAAAGAAAGAGUAUUUGAAGUCAUAUAUUGUUUUAUGACAUAAACAACAGCGUGAGAGAAUGCAUUUGCUCACUAUUUCUGCAUGCUCACUAUUCUUAGGUUUUCAAUCUAUUAAAUUGACAGCAAUGAAAAAAGAAA